GUUUGCGCCUGCUUGGCGACUUGGUGGUGCUUGGUGUAGCCGUAACGGAAGCCAGGAAAGUAGUGACAGUGAAAACUACAGCGUAAACCAUGCUGAUAAAGGAGUAUCGCAUUCCUUUGCCGCUAACGGUGGAAGAAUACAGGAUAGCACAACUGUAUAUGAUUGCGAAAAAAAGUCGCGAAGAGAGCAGUGGCGCUGGCAGUGGAGUCGAAAUUAUCGUGAAUGAACCAUAUCAGGACGGACCCGGCGGCAAUGGGCAGUACACGCGUAAAAUCUACCACGUCGGAAGCCACCUGCCCGGGUGGAUCAAGGGGCUACUGCCGAAGAGUGCGCUCACGGUCGAGGAGGAGGCGUGGAAUGCCUAUCCUUACACGAAGACGCGAUACACGUGCCCGUUUGUGGAGAAGUUUUCGCUCGAGAUCGAAACCUACUACUUUCCCGACAACGGCCACCAGGAGAAUGUGUUUAAGCUGAGUGGCUCCGACCUGCGCAAUCGGAUUGUGGAUCUGAUCGAUAUCGUAAAGGACCAGCUGGGUGGGGCAGACUACACGAGGGAUGAAGACCCUACGCUGUACUGUUCCGAGCGCACCGGACGGGGCCCGCUAAGCGAGCAAUGGUUGGACGAGUACUGGGAGGAGGUGAAGGAGCGCAAGCAGCCAACGGAACGCAAUAUGUCACUCAUGUGUGCGUACAAGCUGUGCCGCGUGGAGUUCCGCUACUGGGGUAUGCAGACGAAGUUGGAAAAGUUCAUCCACGAUACGGCGCUGCGCAAGACGAUGUUACGGGCCCACCGGCAGGCGUGGGCCUGGCAGGACGAGUGGUACGGCCUAUCGAUGGAGGCUAUACGGGAGAUCGAGCGCCAAACGCAGCUGGCGUUGAAGCGCAAGAUGGGCAACGAUGAUGCAACCGAUGGAAACGAUGCCGGCGAUGAGGAGGAGGAAGAGGAGGAGGAGGAAGAAGAAGCAGGACUACAGUAUGUGCAUGAACAUGACAAUCGUAGCUCAAAUAAAAUAUACUCGCUAGAAAAGACUAAUGAAAACUCGACACCACGCAUGGACAAAAGGGACAACAUUCCGGUGAUCACUACGGGAGAGUAUGGUGAUGACGGUGGUGGCAGAAGAGGCCAACGGAUCGAUUCUGGGGACAACCAGCGGCAGGGCGAUGCUAAACGUGUCGGUGACGCCAACGACAGCGACGACGGUGGCGAAUACGGUGAGGGCCUGGAGAUUGGGGCUGAUGGAACCAGGGGUAGCAGCAGUCAAGGCGGUAGCAGUUUACUGCGAAAGCAGCACCACUCGGGCUCGAAAAGCAAACUCCACUCGCCCCUGGGCUCGGCACAAAGUUUUGAUCUGCAGGUUGCCAACUGGAGGAUGGAAAAGUUGGAAGUAGACUCAAAAUCUGGUUCCGAGGAGGAAUUUUUCGAUUGCGUAGGUGAACUGGGAGAGAAAGCAUCGUUGGUAAAGUGGAGCUCACUGGAGUUACUGGCCGAGGAGGAUGACAGUCCACCGAUCGCAGCGAACCACAAGCACCAAGAGGACAGUAUCUUCAGUCAAUCGUACCUACAGCGCGUCACCUCCGAGCGUGGAAUGCGCAGGUCUUUUCUAGGGCAGUUCUCCAGCGUCGACCGUCAGAAUCACGACCCAUCGCCACCGGGUUCCCCCGGCUUGCCCUCCUGCCCCACCACGGUGCUGAUACUAAUCAUGCACGCCGGCAGCGUGCUCGAUGGCAGUUCCGACAUGACGACGAAAAAAUCGGAUAUCACCACCUUCCGCGGGGCGCUCGAGUCCGUCAUGCGCCAACACUAUCCUGCCCUUAUCGGCCACGUAGCCCUCCGGUUGCUACCCUGUCCGCCGGUGUGCUCCGAUGCGCUUGGCAUUCUGUCCAGCUUGAGCCCGUACUCCUUCAACAGUCCGCCGGCCGUAGGCGAUGUAGCCAGCCUCACUGACGUCCCGAUCGGUGCCAUCCCGUUGCUCGCUACGUCUUCGCCCGACUUUCACGAAUCGGUGAGCCGCGCCGUCACCUGUGCCAACCAGAUUUUCUCCGAGUUCCUGAAGUCCGACGAAGGACGCGGCUUUAACGGGCAGAUCGUUAUGAUCGGUGACUCGAUGGGUAGCAUCCUGGCGCACGAUGCGCUGUGCCGGUCGAACGCUCACCAGGGCAGCGAAGCGUCCGGUCUGAAUCACAUUUCCGAUUUUGUCGAAGCGAACGAGCUCGAUGCAAGCAAACUACUCACUGCGCCCUCACCCCGCAGACGGUCUUCCUCUACGAGUGAGUCGCGCGUCCCCAAGUUCGAGUUCGAGGUGGGCGACUUUUUUAUGUUUGGUAGCCCGCUGGCAGUGAUCCUGUCCGCUCGCCGGCUGGCCGACCAUCGGUGCGGCAACCACAAGCCGGCCUGCACCCAGCUGUACAAUCUAUUCCACCCGACCGAUCCGACCGCGUCUCGGCUCGAACCACUGCUAAGCGCGCGAUUCUCGCUGUUAUCCCCAGUGAAUGUGCCACGCUACGCCAAGUACCCGCUCGGUAACGGUCAGCCGUGCCAUCUGCUGGAGCUCAUCCAGUCGAGCCCGCAAAUCUUUGGAGAUGGGCUGCCACCUCGACGACUGUCGGACACCUCGAUUCAAAGCGGCGCAUCUGGCACCAUCGACAACGUGCCGCUCACCACCAUCAAUCAACUUCAGCAGCGAUGGUGGGGACCGAAACGUCUCGACUACGCGCUCUACUGCCCCGAGGGGCUGAGCAAUUUUCCUUCGCACGCACUGCCCCACCUUUUCCACGCCAGCUACUGGGAAUCGAGCGAUGUGGUCGCGUUCAUCCUGCAGCAGAUCGGCCGCUUCGAUGAACUGGCGUGCACCGGUGCGUACGAAAAGGACGUUUCCUCCUUCCGGCCCGGCCAGCCACGGGAAAAGUGGAACAAAAAGCGUACGUCGGUUAAGUUGAAGAAUGUGGCGGCCAAUCACCGGGCGAACGAUGUGAUCGUGCGUGAAGGCGAACCCCAACGGCUGGUGGCACGGUUCAUGUACGGUCCCCUGGACGUCAUUACACUAGCGGGUGAACGGGUCGACAUCCACAUCAUGCGCGAUCCGCUGGCGGGAGAGUGGCAGCUGCUGGCCACCGAAACAACGGAUAAAAAUGGCCGCAUCACCUUCACGGUCCCAGAGGAUCGUACCUGCGAGUACGGCAUUUUUCCUGUCAAGAUGGUUGUGCGCGGUGAUCACACGUCGGUCGACUUCUACAUGGCCGUUGUACCACCGAGGACGGAGUGCAUCGUGUUCAGCAUUGAUGGCUCAUUUACGGCGUCCGUAUCGGUGACGGGUAAGGACCCGAAGGUACGGGCAGGCGCAGUAGACGUGUGCCGCCAUUGGCAGGAGCUUGGCUACCUGCUCAUUUACAUCACCGGUCGGCCCGACAUGCAGCAGCAGCGCGUACUAUCGUGGCUGAGUCAGCACAACUUCCCGCACGGACUGGUCUCGUUCGCUGAUGGGCUGUCAACCGAUCCGCUCGGGCACAAGGCGACCUAUCUAAACAAUCUAAUACUGAAUCAAGGUCUCAUCGUGCACGCUGCUUACGGCAGCAGUAAGGAUAUUAGUGUUUACACCAGCAUUGGGCUUAAGCCUAAACAGAUCUUCAUCACCGGGAAGGUUAGCAAAAAGCUUCAGACUACGGCAACGCCGCUGACGGAGGGGUAUGCCGCACACCUAAGUACUCUGAUGACGGUAGGCGGAUCACGGCCCGCCCAGGGCAAUGCACGGAUGGUUAUACCAAGAAGCUGCUUUAAUCUACCCGGCCAGAACCAAUCCAUUCGCAGGCGACGGUUUGUGCCCGGCUAAACGGGAGUACUCAAGGCUCGACAGCCAACGGGGGAACCCUGCAUUCAAAUUUGACUCUCCAAAACGAUACUUCUCUUACGUUUUUUAGUAUUAUUAAAACUCUCGAACAAAAAUGAAACCCACUGCAGCUCAUCGUUAUAACAGAUCAGUUAUAAUAGGAGAUGGAUAGGUUGAGUGAAAAAACGAUAUUAUUAGCAUGUCUCUAAACUUGUUUGAUAGAUCUGUCACGAACUCAUGUAUUAGUAAUGCGUAACGGAUAGGUUUAUCUUUCCCUUUGUGUAUUGCCUUUGCGUAAAAGCAUUCAGUAGACUUCAAAACCCGAUAAACACCGUUGGCAGAGCAUGGAUAUAAAAACAACCAAACAAUGAUUUAAUAUAGUACAUCAACUCCCAUAUGAAUCAAAGUCUGUCAAUGUAGCAAACAGCAUAUACUUAUACACACAUAUAUAAAUGUAUAUUUAGGCGAAUGGUUGCGCAGCAUAUUGUUAAAUAAGGACUCCGAUGCAAUAUUCUAUUUUGUCACAUGGUACCUGGCUUAAAAGACUGUCUCUUACCGGCUGUAAAUAAAACAAAAGUAACAUGAAAAUGAAUUCACAGUUAAAACGUUUAUAAUCCAGUAUUUAUUACUUUUUACCCAGCAUGAAGUUGGCCCCUGUUUGUUUGUAUCUUUACAAUUCACGAAUCUGAGUAACCCCAAUUACUCCAAGCAGUCCACACUGUUGUUCUGAUAUAAAACAGUAUGUAACCAAAAGUAUGUUUUACUCGGAUAAACGCAUACCGCAACGGUUCAGCGUAUGGCAUUUUAGAUCUGUUUAAAAUUUAAUUUAAUGAAAGCCAAGUUAAAGUUUAUGGACUCCGAACAAACUAUAUAGAUGUAAAGGUGUUAUCAUAGGAAGCGGAAAAUGGAAUAUUAUCAUUGAUUACAUUCAUAAAUUACACAGACUUUGGGAUGAAUGGAAAAUAAUAAGCAAAUGCUUAGAAAUAUUCGAUAUAAGCUACGGUGACAGGUCAGAAGUAUAUUCUAAAAUCGAUGUUUAUUAACUGUUAUAGUUGAGGCAUAUGAGUGAUGAUUGUGUGUAGCGCAGAUAGUGCGACAUAGUAACUGAAUAUUCAAUGCAUAUUGAGUGUAUACAAAGAACAAACACAGAAACCAAAAAUAUGGGAUCUAGGACAGGAGGAAACCAAAACUUUAAAAUCAAAUCAGUAAUGUACUUGUAGGUCGUGAAGCAGGUAAAAAAACACUGCACAUUCACAAAAAGGCUGUUAGAGAAGCAUUAUUAUAAAGUGGAUCUUUUUUAAUAUGGUAUGAUAUUGAACCUUUAACGCAAUGAUGAAGUCUACACCAUGGGUUUUUUUCCUAUCACACCAAACUUGUUGGUGCUGCAAAGGGGUGGGCAAUGGGGGCAAUUUAAGAUAGCUUUUACGUCCGAUGGCAUAUGGUUGUUCACAAACAAUAAAUAAGAAAAAAAAUGUAUUCUUUUUGUGAUGAUGAUAUAGCUGUGCACUUCUGUAACCCAAUGCCCUUGGUUUAAUUCAAGCGCAACGCAAUGCAACAAUAACCACAGAAUUUGAUAAAUUCAAAAGCAUUAAAUAGAUAUGUGGACUGGACAAUCUUUGACUAAGAUAAAAAAAAACAGAAAUAGUAGAAACAGUUUAAUGUACAAUGAUGUAAGCAGCCGACGUUCAUCCAAUAGCUGCAAGCGUAAUAUUUGUUCAGCUGUACUCUAUUCGAUGCGCGUAGCGUAGCGUGCGAAAUCACUAACGAGGCCAUUAGCUUUCGCGCGGUUAAGCGGUAUUAUUGCGAAACGAUUGCUUUAUAUCCCGGACGAUGUCAUUGCUUGUAAAUAGCAAACGUCAUCACUAUACGGCAAUACACGGCUAUAUGUCAGAAGGCUACUCUUCUUCAACAUUGGAAGCAUCUCAAUAACAAAUUUAAACAUGUAAAAUGUACA